GGGGAGGUGGCUCAGUGGUUAAGAGCACUGGCUGCUCUUCCAGAGGUCCUGAGUUCAAUUCCCAGGCACCACA
rnacentral:tRNA from 1 species